UCCAAGAUUGACCCAAGGUUAUUUCAAAUUAUUAUGUCUAAAACUCAUAUCAUCUCGGGAAAAUAUUGAUGUUGUAGGAAACAAAGAACUAAUCCCAAGUCGAAAAGUCAAGACCUACAACAUGGAGGAAAGCCAAAGGAUGGGCUCAGCAUCCUACAUGCCACCGUGUCAUGUGCGGACUCCUUCCACCUCGAGGCUAUGGGUGGGGAGGUGAUCUACCUAUCGGUGAAGACUUCUUCCAGAUGAGGGAAAAGGAGAAGUUUGAGAAGGAAGCUGAGAGGCAGAAAGAUCAAGGAAAUUUGGAAGACAAGAGCCAAGUCUAGGCAAAAGAGAAGAAAUUAUUGAAAGUUCCUUGCUUGCUAUCAGGCCCUCAUCAAGUAAAGAUGGUUAUACGGUUAACCAGAAGGUUGACCCAGAAACGCCACAUAUAAAGGAGGCCACCAUGUCAGAUGUAUCACCAACUAAAGUAACCAAACACAACAAUGGGGAUCUGCUAUAUAUGAAGGAAUUAUAUCAUGUGCUUCCCAUGGAUUAUGUGACAAUAGCCAAACUUCAAUGAAAGCCAUUGAGCUGCAUAUGGCGAGGCGAUGUCUAGUCAGCACGGACCAG